rnacentral:lncRNA from 1 species
CCAUGGAUUAAGUCCCUAAUACCAUGAAAUAAUGUGUGACUUGAUGUGAAUAGUUUAAGUUUGUAAUACCUUGAAUUGAUUAAUAUUCUUGAUAAUGGUGGAAUAAAGUAUCAAAAUGCCUUGAGUAUCUCGAUAUCCUUGGUAAAUUGAGGUGUUGGAGUCCCUAAGUUAUGAAAUGAGAAAGUGUUGGAUAAGUGAAUGAUUAGAGUCCCAAGACAA